GGUCUCGUAGUGUAGCGGUUAACACGCCUGCCUUUCACGGCGGUAACACGGGUUCGAGUCCCGUCGAGACCGCCA
rnacentral:tRNA from 1 species